rnacentral:rRNA from 1 species
GUUGAACGCUAGCGGGAUGCCUUACACAUGCAAGUCGAACGGAGUGGCGAACGGGUGAGUAAUGUAUCGGAACGUGCCCAGUAGCGGGGGAUAACUACGCGAAAGCGUAGCUAAUACCGCAUACUUUUGGAGCGGCCGCUCUCGGAGUCGCGAGUUGGUGGGGUAACGGCUCACCAAGGCGACGAUCGGUAGCUGGUUUGAGAGGACGACCAGCCACACUGGGACUGGGAAACGGCCCCGACUCCUACGGGAGGCAGCAGUGGGGAAUUUUGGACAAAGGGGGAAACCCUGAUCCAGCCAUCCCGCGUGUGCGAUGAAGGCCUUCGGGUUGUAAAGCACUUUUGGCAGGAAAGCGGUACCUGCAGAAUAAGCACCGGCUAACUACGUGCCAGCAGCCGCGGUAAUUC